GAGGGUAUGGCUUGGUGGUAGAGCACGUGCCUAGCAUGCACGAGGUCCUGGGUUCAAUCCCCAGUCCCUCCA
rfam:Camelus ferus unplaced genomic scaffold scaffold16133, whole genome shotgun sequence.